GGAUAAUAUCAGCAGCUUGCCUCCUGGAGGGAGGGAGUCUGAGCAGGAGGAAGGAGAAGGCAAGAAGCAUUGGCAACAGCUGUAAGGGGUAAUCAAUUACAGGUCCCAGAAAUUACUGUGCACAGGCGAAACAUCCCACAUCAUAUAAAUAAGACUGCUGUUUGGAGGCUCAAGUGGUGACUUUUUGGAUUAGGGAUGUUACACAUUUUGCGAAUUUCUCAUAAAGAAGAGAAAAUAUAGGCAGGUGAGACUUAGGAUCG